rnacentral:rRNA from 1 species
AGGGAACGCUGGCGGCAUGCUUUACACAUGCAAGUCGAACGGCAGCGCGGGCUUCGGCCUGGCGGCGAGUGGCGAACGGGUGAGUAAUGCAUCGGAACGUGCCCAGUAGUGGGGGAUAGCCCGGCGAAAGCCGGAUUAAUACCGCAUACGACCUGAGGGUGAAAGCGGGGGACCGAAAGGCCUCGCGCUAUUGGAGCGGCCGAUGUCGGAUUAGCUAGUUGGUGGGGUAAAGGCUUACCAAGGCGACGAUCCGUAGCUGGUCUGAGAGGACGACCAGCCACACUGGGACUGAGACACGGCCCAGACUCCUACGGGAGGCAGCAGUGGGGAAUUUUGGACAAUGGGGGCAACCCUGAUCCAGCCAUGCCGCGUGCGGGAAGAAGGCCUUCGGGUUGUAAACCGCUUUUGUUCGGGAAGAAAUCCUCUGGGCUAAUACCCCGGGGGGAUGACGGUACCGGAAGAAUAAGCACCGGCUCACUACGUG